UACGUAGGGGGCGAGCGUUGUCCGGAUUCAUUGGGCGUAAAGCGCGCGCAGGCGGCUUCGUAAGUCGGCCGUGAAAUCUCCAGGCUUAACUUGGAGGGGUCGGGCGAGACUGCGGAGCUCGAGGCAGGUAGAGGGCGGUGGAAUUCCGGGUGUAGUGGUGGAAUGCGUAGAGAUCCGGAGGAACACCAGUGGCGAAGGCGGCCGCCUGGGCCUGACCUGACGCUGAGGCGCGAAAGCGUGGGGAGCGAUCCGGAUUAGAUACCCGGGUAGUCCACGCCGUAAACGAUGGGCACUAGGUGUCGGGGGUAUCGACCCCCCCGGUGCCGUCGCUAACGCAGUAAGUGCCCCGCCUGGGGAGUACGGCCGCAAGGCUAAA
rnacentral:rRNA from 1 species